AAGUUUCCCAAAGCCCCAUUCAGCUUGGACUUAAAUAUCUCCAAGAAUAGGGCUUCCACAGCUUCUCUGGACAGCUUUUUUCAAUGUCUCACCCUCUGCAUAAAGAUUUUCCUCCUUACAUAUAAUAUACAGCACCUUCCAUCCCCUCAGUCCCCAGAUGAGAGUGAAGGCUGGAUCAUGGCUGGUGACACGGCCAUGGGAGCUUUAGCACACACCCUGCAGUGCUCUCGUGGGGCUCUCUAGGGCCAGAUGGACACAACUCUAUUCCCACAAAGCAGCAUACAAGUACCUGCACCUCUCCUGCCAAAUGCCAUUUCCUGGGGUCCUCACCAUUUCAGUGCACUUGAGACUGCUUCAGUCCAGGUGACCAGUGUUGGACUUUUCCCUACACCUCCUCAUCCUACUUGGAAAAUAGCCUUGCAACUGGGGGCUGUGCAUCAGUGCUUCCUGAGGAUCAUCACCUGUCCCUGAAAAGUCAUCCCAGGGGCACCAUGCAGCCUUUGCAUCUCCUCAAGGAACAGUCAUGCUCAAACUCUGUGAUAGUAAAAGAGGAAUUCAGGUGGCCCAGCCCAAGGCACACUAUGCUUUCUCCUCCCAAAGGAAGACCCAAUGUCUUCUUCAUACCUUGCUCAUAUGCUGCAAGAGAUCCUUCUGCCAGCUCACAGUAUUACAGCAGUAGCAGACCAUUGCUCCAGGGAUGGACAUGGAAGCUUUCCCGCUGUGUGGACAGAGGAGUCAAAGGUAGCCCUACUGCAGGAGAGAAGAGAGACCUGUAGCAGGACAACAACUGUGAGCCUCACGCGUGCUUCCUUCCCCUUUUUGUCAUGUUCCCCAGUGCACAUCCAGUAAGUAACAGGAAGCACACAGAAUAAGGAGUGGCAGAAAUAUGACCUUGUGCUCAUUUUGGAGGGGUCUUUUCUGUACUUGUCUUGUAUUUCAACAUACUAUCCAAAGCACUCAGUUCCACAUCUUGUCAAAAGAAAUUUAAGCAAUUGGUGCUUCCAGAAGCGUAUGGCUAUUAACUACAGUACAGCAAAAUUCUUCUCAUAUUUUUCUAAUCAAAAGUUCUCCAUGGGCUUUUAUUCCCAGUCCUCCUCUGAGUGUCUCUGAGAAAAGACAUACUACCACCCUACUUUCCACUAUUAUCAAUUAUCCAGCAUUACUAAGAUAGAAGAGAGCCGUUUCCCAUAGAAGAGAACAGUUUCCCACAGAAGUGCCUCUUGUUUGAUUUUCAUGCAAAAAUAUUUUUCAAUUAGCCAAGCAAGUAUAUUCUAUGGAGAACACGUGAAGGAUCCCAGCUGUAGCUGGUGAAUGGAUUACUCUGUAUGCAGGGUGGACUUGGUAGUGUGCUGUCAGUCAUGGUAUGAGAGUCGAAGCACAGCCCAGCCUUCUGACAGAUGAUUAACCAGUCAUUUUCUGAAGCCACUGGCACGCUGCAAACAACUGGCUGGCCUUCAGCAGCUUCUCUUUGACACUCCAGGCCAGGUGACUGUAUCAUUCACAGGUGCAGCUUUAAGGAUCACAUAAUU
rnacentral:lncRNA from 1 species